GAUGAACGCUGGCGGCGUGCCUAAUACAUGCAAGUCGAGCGAACAGAUAAGGAGCUUGCUCCUUUGAAGUUAGCGGCGGACGGGUGAGUAACACGUGGGUAACCUACCUAUAAGACUGGGAUAACUUCGAGAAACCGGAGCUAAUACCGGAUAACAUUUAGAACCGCAUGGUUCUAAGGUGAAAGAUGGUUUUGCUAUCACUUAUAGAUGGACCCGCGCCGUAUUAGCUGGUUGGUAAGGUAAAGGCUUACCAAGGCGACGAUACGUAGCCGACCUGAGAGGGGGGUCGGCCACACGGGAACGGAGACACGGUCCAUGCUCCUACGGGAGGCAGCAGUCGGGAAUCUGCCGCAAUGGGCGAAAGCCUGACGGAGCAACGCCGCGUGAGUGAUGAAGGGUUUCGGUUCGUAAAACUCGGUUAUUAGGGAAGAACAAAUGUGUAAGUAACUGUGCACAGCUUGACGGUACCUAGUCAGAAAGCCACGGCUAACUACGUG
rnacentral:rRNA from 1 species